GCCUCCGCACUCAGGCCGGCCCCCAGCGUGCGGGGCCUCCCGGUCGACCAGUGCGCAGGCGCCGGCGGGGGGCUCCCAGCGUGCACUGCGCUCGAGCGCGGUCCCCCGGACUGACGGCCAGCCCUGCGGAUGGACGGGCCGUGUGCCCUGUCGCCCUGCGCCUGCUGAACUCCGAGCACCCGAGGAUGUCUUGCGCUGAGGAAGGUCUGUAUGAGCUGUUGGCUGUUGUGCAGGCCGGCUGGGGCCACGUGUGGACAGCCAGGAAGACCUGACCUUCCUCUGGGAUAUGUUUGGUGAGAAAAGCCUGCAUUCACCGGUAAAGAAGUUACUCGUCGAGCACCAUUUUCCUUUAGGUUAGUGAUUUCUGAAUUGUAUUCAUGAAACAUUUCCUUAAUGUGUGACCAAAAAGCUAUUCCCUUUUUCAUUUUCACUUUGAUUUCGCUACUCUAGAUUUUUUGUUUAUUAUGUGUGAAUCUGGAUCUCAAAAGAAAUUCUCUCAACAUUUCUUCUUUGUCAUAUUUGCUCUAGAUUAUUUUUUUCAUAUUUGCCGUUUACUCAAUUUAAGAAGUUUCCGUUUAUUCUGUGUAAAAUGACUUUUUAAAUGACUAGCCAUUGGACUUUGUCAAGUGCUUUUUAUUUAUUUAUUGUAAUGAUCAUAUGAUUUGUUUCCUGUCAGUCUCAACAUAGGAAAGUUCAUUGGUUUUUGACAUUUUUUUUUUUUUUUUACUGAUUUUUGACUGUUCAACUGGCUAUCAUUGGACUAUUAUUUGAGAUAACCUAAUUUGUUCAUGAUUUGUUCUCCUUUACAUAUAAUCUGCUGGAGUUAGUUGACUCCUAGUUUAUUUAGAACUUUAAUGUCUCCUUUUAUGAGACUUCAGCCCAUAAUUUUGCUUUCUUAUCUCUCUCAUCAGAUCUUCACAAUAUCCUGGGUAGCCUUAUGUUGUGAGGUGGAAGUCUCUACUCUUCUGUGGGUAAGUUUAUGAAAGACUGAAGUUCGUUUGUCCUUUAGCAGAACUGACUUGUUGGGUUCCUUGGGCCUGGAUGUUUUCUUUUUGAUAAGGAUAUUGGUAACUAUUUUAAAGAUGACAAGAACGUUUAGGCUUUCUAUUUCUUCUUGAUUAGUUUUAAUGAUUCAUAUUUUUCUAAGAUUUGGUCCAUUUCAACUACAUUGUCAAAUUUCUGAAAAGGUUGCUUAUAAUAUUUCACAUGUGCAGUUUCUAUGCUAAUUGUUUUUCUUCUUGGUCCUGAUAUUGGUACUUAUUGCCCUUUCUUCUCUUUCCUCAAUAUUGCCAGAGUUUUGGCAUUAGUCUUUUUAGAUAUAAACCUUUGGCCUUAUUAAUUUUCCUCAUUGUAUAUUAGUUUUUAUUUCAUUGACUUUUUUAAAAAAAUUCUUU
rnacentral:lncRNA from 1 species